UGCCUAUUAGCUCAAUUGGUAGAGCUUUGUGCAAUGCACAAUGAUGUAGGUUCGAAUCCUACAUAGGUCA
rfam:Spinacia oleracea cultivar SynViroflay scaffold46553.con0001.1, whole genome shotgun sequence.